rnacentral:sRNA from 2 species
UACUCCUCAUGAUCCAAAAGAGAUAGCUUCGCAAGCGUAUUAUUAGAAGUUUGUACGGGUCCCGGUCGAUUUUGAAAGAAGUACCGUUCAUGCGGUGGGAGAUCUCCCUCAGGAGUAGGGGAUCGCCGAUUCUUCGCACCCUUGGGGCGUCCAGCGCGGCGCUUCGGCGUAGGUUCAGCUUUUCCAGCAUUAUUUGCUUUACUCGCUCCUCGCUCUUUGAUUUUCUCAGCCUCGUCAUCAUCCCCUGAUUCCAAGAUAGCUUGCGCUAAUUUAUCUGCACCGUCCCAAUCAUCCUCAUCAUUUUGUUCUAGAAGUACGCGCGCACUUUUUCGCUUCGCUGAGCGAUCAGCAUUUCUUGUUAUGGAAGGAGAAGGAUGCACGGAUUUUUUUCCAGUAGCUUUUGUGGGUGUUGCGAAUAACGGUCCGGAUUGCGCCUUUGAAGUCGGG